CCAACGGUCAUCAAAACUGGUGUGUGAUUGGCCAAGAGGGGUUUCAGUUGAAACAUCCUAUAUCAUUGGUUCAAUAAAAGUAAACAAAGCUUUACGUGUGGCUUUCUGACAACAUCGUUUUCUUGAUGAGAUUUUACAACAAUGCCAGCAAAUAUGCCAAAACGGCAAACAUUUUUUAACAUUGAAUGGACGAAAGAGUACGAUUAGCUCACCAAAAGCAGUCAAGACUCGUUUCACGGUUUCUGCAAGCUUUGCCGGUGUGACAUUGACGUGAGCAGCAGGGGCAAAGCAGCCUGAGAAUGUAACGCGGAGAGCGCAAAACAUAAAAGAAUGAGGCGAGCAGCACGUGCGUUGACAUUGAAAAAAAUUUUUUGAGAACCCUCAUUGCCUCUGGAUAACGAAAUAACUUCAGCUGAACUGAAAAGUAAAGUUCUUCCUCUUAUAAAGGGCGUGGACUCCACUAUCAGUUGACAAGACAGCUCUCACAGACAUUGCGCCACACCUUCCCAUAGGGGGGUGCCCUAGGCAGAACCUUGACUUUCACUGUGAUAAACUGAAACACACGCUGCGUUCUAAUGACGGAUUUAGGUGGAAACAGGACAAAGGUUUUAUUGCAUACAAGCAUCAGGAGUGUUUCAAGAGUGAUUUGGUCGACGAUUCAAGGGUCGCGGAGUUGCUGGAGCCUAUCCCAGCUAACUACGGGCAGAAGGCAGGGUACACCCUAAACUGGUUGCCAGCCAGUCACAGGGCACAAUGAGACAUACAUCCAUUCACGCACACACUCCUAUCUACGGAUGGAAUUUAGAGUGUUCAAUCAGCCUACCAUGCAUGUAUUUGGGAUGUGGGAGGAAUCUGGAGUUCCCGGAGGAAAACACACGCAGGCACGGUGGUCUUAUUCAGUCUUCCCAGCCUGGUGCAGGUCUACAAUUUUGUCUCUGGUGUCCUUCGACAGCUCUUUCGUCUUGGCCAUAGUGGAGUUAGGAGUGUGACUGAGGUUGUGGACAGGUGUCUUUUAUACCGAUAAUGAGUUAAAACAGGUGUCAUUGAUACAGGUAACGAGUGGAGCCUCGUUAGACCUCGUUAGAAGACGUUAGACCUCUUUGACAGCCAGAAAUCUUGCUUGUUUGUAGGUGACCAAAUACUU